AACGAACGCUGGCGGCAUGCCUAACACAUGCAAGUCGAACGAGACCUUCGGGUCUAGUGGCGCACGGGUGCGUAACGCGUGGGAACCUGCCCUUAGGUUCGGAAUAACUCCCCGAAAGGGGUGCUAAUACCGGAUAAUGUCUUCGGACCAAAGAUUUAUCGCCUUUGGAUGGGCCCGCGUUGGAUUAGCUAGUUGGUAGGGUAAAAGCCUACCAAGGCGACGAUCCAUAGCUGGUCUGAGAGGAUGAUCAGCCACACUGGGACUGAGACACGGCCCAGACUCCUACGGGAGGCAGCAGUGGGGAAUAUUGGACUAUGGGCGAAAGCCUGAUCCAGCAAUGGCGCGUGAGUGAUGAAGGCCUUAGGGUUGUAAAGCUCUUUUACCCGGGAUGAUAAUGACAGUACCGGGAGAAUAAGCUCCGGCUAACUCCGUG
rnacentral:rRNA from 1 species